UGCAGGUACAACUCCCAUUUUUUCUCCUCAAUUUUUCAACCCGACAUAAAAUCGUCAUCCGACCACCUUGCAGGUUCUGAUCAAUUUGUAAGAUCAUUUUCUAUAUGUGUUUCUAGUUUCUCAAACAUCUUAAUUUUCGAAAAUAAACAUUCUGAUUUGUUCAAAGAUAGCAAUCCCUUUAAUUUAUCCCGGAAGCCUUGUUUGGAGGAUGGAGCCGCAAAACGUGUAUUCCAAGUGUGGAAAUUAGUCAAUCUGCUUGACUUGUUGGUCAUCGCCGAGAAACAAGGCCCACAUUUCUCUUUCUGCAUGUCUUCAUAG